rnacentral:rRNA from 1 species
CGCCGAGUUGGCGGGCUGCCUAUACAUGCAGUCGAACGAGCUUCCGUUGAAUGACGUGCUUGCACUGAUUUCAACAAUGAAGCGAGUGGCGAACUGGUGAGUAACACGUGGGAAAUCUGCCCAGAAGCAGGGGAUAACACUUGGAAACAGGUGCUAAUACCGUAUAACAACAAAAUCCGCAUGGAUUUUGUUUGAAAGGUGGCUUCGGCUAUCACUUCUGGAUGAUCCCGCGGCGUAUUAGUUAGUUGGUGAGGUAAAGGCCCACCAAGACGAUGAUACGUAGCCGACCUGAGAGGGUAAUCGGCCACAUUGGGACUGAGACACGGCCCAAACUCCUACGGGAGGCAGCAGUAGGGAAUCUUCCACAAUGGACGAAAGUCUGAUGGAGCAAUGCCGCGUGAGUGAAGAAGGGUUUCGGCUCGUAAAACUCUGUUGUUAAAGAAGAACACCUUUGAGAGUAACUGUUCAAGGGUUGACGGUAUUUAACCAGAAAGCCACGGCUAACUACGUGCCAGCAGCCGCGGUAAUACGUAGGUGGCAAGCGUUGUCCGGAUUUAUUGGGCGUAAAGCGAGCGCAGGCGGUUUUUUAAGUCUGAUGUGAAAGCCUUCGGCUUAACCGGAGAAGUGCAUCGGAAACUGGGAGACUUGAGUGCAGAAGAGGACAGUGGAACUCCAUGUGUAGCGGUGGAAUGCGUAGAUAUAUGGAAGAACACCAGUGGCGAAGGCGGCUGUCUAGUCUGUAACUGACGCUGAGGCUCGAAAGCAUGGGUAGCGAACAGGAUUAGAUACCCUGGUAGUCCAUGCCGUAAACGAUGAGUGCUAAGUGUUGGAGGGUUUCCGCCCUUCAGUGCUGCAGCUAACGCAUUAAGCACUCCGCCUGGGGAGUACGACCGCAAGGUUGAAACUCAAAGGAAUUGACGGGGGCCCGCACAAGCGGUGGAGCAUGUGGUUUAAUUCGAAGCUACGCGAAGAACCUUACCAGGUCUUGACAUCUUUCUGCCAAUUCUUAGAGAUAGACGUUCCCUUCUGGGACAGAAUGACAGUGGUGCAUGGUUGUCGUCAGCUCGUGUCGUGGAGAUUGUUGGUUAGGUCCGCACGAGCGCACCCUUUAUUAUUCAGUUGCAGGCAUUCAGUUGGGCACUCUUGGUGAGACUGCCGUGACAUGGAGAGGUGGGAUGACGUCAUUCAUCAUGCCUUAUGACUGGAUUCAACGUCUCAAUGACGUAAACGAGUUGCGCGAGUCUGUGAAGUCUAAGCUA